rnacentral:rRNA from 1 species
GACGAACGCUGGCGGCGUGCCUAAUACAUGCAAGUUGAGCGCUGAAGGUUGGUACUUGUACCGACUGGAUGAGCAGCGAACGGGUGAGUAACGCGUGGGGAAUCUGCCUUUGAGCGGGGGACAACAUUUGGAAACGAAUGCUAAUACCGCAUAAAAACUUUAAACACAAGUUUUAAGUUUGAAAGAUGCAAUUGCAUCACUCAAAGAUGAUCCCGCGUUGUAUUAGCUAGUUGGUGAGGUAAAGGCUCACCAAGGCGAUGAUACAUAGCCGACCUGAGAGGGUGAGCGGCCACAUUGGGACUGAGACACGGCCCAAACGCCUACGGGAGGCAGCAGUAGGGAAUCUUGGGCAAUGGACGAAAGUCUGACCGAGCAACGCCGCGUGAGUGAAGAAGGUUUUCGGAUCGUAAAACUCUGUUGGUAGAGAAGAACGUUGGUGAGAGUGGAAAGCUCAUCAAGUGACGGUAACUACCCAGAAAGGGACGGCUAACUACGUG